CACAGAGCUCCCAUAGCUCCCAAGCGCACUGUGGGGUCCUGACAUGAAGUUCAGGCUUAGUAAGAGGACCAGCAGCACGCACUCCGCACUUCGGAGCAGUCCUCAGCAAUGUGUGGCCCCGCCCUUCACCGCUCCCAUCUGUCAAGAGAUGUGUGAACCGGCAUUCUGGGACCCAAGUUCCCUUCGGCCUUCAUCCUUUCUUUCUCUCAGCAUGACAAUUUUGGGGGAUUCCAAUUUCCUGGGGGGGGUGUCAUCAUUUCACUAUGUUAGAUAGGGGUGAGGUGGGGUAGAAAUGUCUAGAAGAGCUUCACCGUCA
rnacentral:lncRNA from 1 species